rnacentral:rRNA from 1 species
UGGGGAAUAUUGGGCAAUGGGCGCAAGCCUGACCCAGCAACGCCGCGUGAGGGAAGAAGGCUUUCGGGUUGUAAACCUCUGUCCUUGGUGACGAAAAAAAUGACGGUAGCCAAGGAGGAAGCCCCGGCUAACUACGUGCCAGCAGCCGCGGUAAUACGUAGGGGGCGAGCGUUGUCCGGAAUUACUGGGCGUAAAGGGUGCGUAGGUGGCCUUUUAAGUUGGAUGUGAAAUACCCGGGCUUAACUUGGGGGGUGCAUCUAAUACUGGGAGGCUAGAGUGCAGGAGAGGAAAGCGGAAUUCCUAGUGUAGCGGCGAAAUGCGUAGAUAUUAGGAGGAACACCAGUGGCGAAGGCGGCUUUCUGGACUGUAACUGACACUGAGGCACGAAAGCGUGGGGAGCAAACAG